UGUACGACAGCUACAUGAAAGCACCGCGUUUGCUGCACGGUAAAUGUUUGGGACUCAGAUUCGCUACCAUGGCAACAGUGUUUCCACAGCUCCAUUCCCAUAGAAGAUCAAUCAAACAGAGACAGCAGCGAGUCUAGCUUCAAAUAAUGGGCCACGAUUUGAGAGUUGUUGGAGAGCCAGGAGGAAAACAGGAAAUGAAGGGUCCACUGUGAGUGCACAAGGUGUGUCCAGUCCUGUGAUGAGUUGGCGCUGUGUGGAGCCAUCAAGCAAGCUGACAUUAAUGGAAUCACUCUCCAAACUGGUCCAGUAGAGAAGAUGGUGAAUCCAGUCCACAGUCAGCCCUGAGACCGGACUGGGAACAUGCAUGAGCAAUGUGGCAUGCUGGGCCUUUCCACUUAAGUGGACCCUGAAAUUAGCAAGAAAUCAAAUCUAAUGUAGAAGGUUUUGUUUCCUCAUACACUUGCACAUCACAAUAUUUUAAUUUCAUGCAGGAAAGUUAGCAAAUUUCAAAAGUCAGUUUAAAUAUAUGACUUUUUAUGUAAAUGUUUGAUGAGGUUAAGAACAGGAACAUUAAUGAUAGGACCCACCUUACACAACAGUAAUAAAGGGAAUGGAGUGUUGUAUGAAAAAGACCAAAGACUUAUGUAUAUUCUUAGGUAUAUUUGCUUUGCUCUGUGACUACUACCGGAUGUAUACUGUAAAAUGGAUUAGGAGAACUCAGAGUGUAUUUACAAUUGAAUGUGUCAUGUUGAUCAUGUGCAGUUUUCUGCAACUGUCAGCACACAUUUUUGGAUAACGUUUAGGUCUGCAGAGCAGGAAGAUUCUCCAUUCUGUCACCUGUAAAUGGACCCUUGUCUUUGGUGGGCCAUGUACAGUGUGUUGUUAGAGGCCAAGGCUGCCAAAGGCCCAGGUCCUGAUCUGUGUACUGCCAACAUCCUGGAUGCUGCACCACUUAGAACCAGUUGAACAACUCCUUGAGAUGUGGACACAAGAAGCUGGGCAUCUACCCCUGAAGGGACAUAACAGUAGACUAAGGACACAUGUUACAAGUUUAGGUGCAUUGUGCUACAAUCAGUGUUGUCAGUAACGCGUUACUGUAAUCUAAUUACUUUCUUUCAGUAACGAGCAAUCUAACGCGUUAGUUUUUCCAAGCCAGUAAUCUGAUUAAAGUUAGUUUCCUCAGUAACUGUGCAUUACUAUUUUGUUUUUGCCUCAUACAGAAUGUAGAAUGAAGAAUACUGUAGUCAUGUACGAAGAGCAUUUGAAUAGAAAAUACCGCAUUUGAGUUUGGGAGUGACAUCACAUCUCACGUUUUCUCAUCGGAAAAAAACGGGUCACGUGCAGUACCAUGCCGUAUGCGCGCCGUCUGCCACAUAGCCUGGCUACCUAUCAGGAUGCUAACAGUAAAGGAGCCGGAGAGAUACAACAAACGGCUGCAUUUGCUCACUGGAGAUAAAGCCAUUACUUCACAUAUCCGUCCAGUAAAGAUGACAAAAAUAUCUCAGUGCGUUGCAAACUCUGCGCUGGCUCAGAUGGACUGUCAACCGCUAUAUACUCGACAUCCAAUUCAACAAGGAAGCACUUGGAAUUACCGCACAACGCGUCGCGAAAAAAAAAAACUCAAAACAAGACGACAGGAACGUCACCUUGCCAAGAAUGAAAAGGUGGAGCCACUUUUUGCAAAAUUCAAGUGUGCCUAAGCAAACGUGCUACAUGUCAGUGACUGACCAAACAGGAUGUGCAAAGCAAACAUAUGGCGAAUGGCUAAAUUUUGUUCAAACGAAAUGACUCUUUUCUUGAAUUUUGAACAGAAUUCACUUCUACUACCUAACAAGUUAGAAUGUUUCUCAUGUAUGUAAACAAAAGGUGGCAAAGCAUGGCCAUAACAUGACACUAAUCAGUCAUGCUUCCCUGCUAGGAUCGUUGUUUUUUUUUCUGUGUGUGCGUGCUCUUCUAUUUUUACUCCAUAGUGCUGUGUGUUCCUCCCAAACGAUUGUAUUAUUUGUUGUUGAACAUCCACGUGCAAUUAAACAAACUUGAAAUUGCAGCAGUGUUAUUUAAGGACAGCAAUUGGGAUUCAUAAAAGGCUGUGGCAGCUUUUGGCUCUACUCUAUGGUGCCGCUGUCAGUACAAUUGUAUUGCUUGUUUGUGCUAUAUUCUACGAACAUUCACUGAGCCCACCAGGACCUCUCGGUUUGUGACUGCCGUGUUUUGAUUAUCAUGGAAACUUCCCUUCCCAUGUAGAUAUGAGACGACAGCAUGAAGCUCUAGCCAGUCAGACAAAACGUUCAAGGUGUACAGUAUACAAUCAGUUCUAUAUUCCACACUGCUCAACUGAUUAAGUUGGCAGUUAAUGUACGAUAAUAGUGUAAUAUUUCAUUACAAAUCCAUUGUUGUGGUGGCUAGAGCCCCAAAGAUCGCAUUUUACUUUUACUUCACUACAUUUUGCGCGGAUCUGUACUUUUCCAAUUGUCUCCUGCGUUACAAGUUACUUUUGUUUUCUUUUUUUCUCAUUGUGAAUUGAUAGUUUUGUUUUCAUGCCCCCUGCGCAAUUGACGAGCCCUGUGCAACUAUACUGUAUUGAGCACUAGAGGCAGCAACAUGAAUACAAGCAAGAUUAGCCAGGUGAACAAGAUAUUGACCAAUAGUGAGAGCAGCGCGUCUUCAGAUGGUUUCUGCCCACUCUUGUACAGUAGGUGGCGGUAUGCACCUGAUAGUUGCUUGCAAUCCUCCAUGAAGCUAAAUUUUGGAGUUUUUGAGCUUGUUAAAGCGGAAGUUCUAAAUUUUUUACAUUAGGCUUAACCUUUGAGUUAGCGGGGGUUAAAGUGGUCGGUGGA